AACGAACGCUGGCGGCAUGCCUAACACAUGCAAGUCGAACGAGACCUUCGGGUCUAGUGGCGCACGGGUGCGUAACGCGUGGGAACCUGCCCUUAGGUUCGGAAUAACUCCCCGAAAGGGGUGCUAAUACCGGAUAAUGUCUUCGGACCAAAGAUUUAUCGCCUUUGGAUGGGCCCGCGUUGGAUUAGCUAGUUGGUAGGGUAAAAGCCUACCAAGGCGACGAUCCAUAGCUGGUCUGAGAGGAUGAUCAGCCACACUGGGACUGAGACACGGCCCAGACUCGUACGGGAGGCAGCAGUAGGGAAUAUUGGACAAUGGGCGAAAGCCUGAUACAGCAAUGCCGCGUGAGUGAUGAAGGCCUUAGGGUUGUAAAGCUCUUUUACCCGGGAUGAUAAUGACAGUACCGGGAGAAUAAGCUCCGGCUAACUACGUG
rnacentral:rRNA from 1 species